GGGUUUCCUCCGGCCUCCAGGCUCUACUACAUCCUGAAACAGGUUUCCUCCAGCCUCCGGGCUCUACUACCCCCUUAAAUAGGUUUCCUCCGGCCUCCGGGCUCUACUACACCCUAAAAAGGGUUUCCUCUGGCCUCCGGCUCUACUACACCCUAAAAAGGGUUUCCUCAGUCUCCAGGCUCUACUACACCCUAAAAAGGGUUUCCUCUGGCCUCCGGCUCUACUACACCCUAAAAAGGGUUUCCUCAGCCUCCGGGCUCUACUACACCUUCCAAAGGGUUUCCUCCGGCCUCCGGGCUCUACUACACCCUAAAACGGGUUUCCUCCGGCCUCCGGGCUCUAUUACACCCUAAAAUGGGUUUCCUCUGGCCUCCGGGCUCUACUACACCCUAAAAAGGGUUUCCUCAGCCUCUGGGCUCUACUACACCUUCCAAAGGGUUUCCUCCGGCCUCCGGGCUCUACUACACCCUAAAACGGGUUUCCUCCGGCCUCCGGGCUCUAUUACACCCUAAAACGGGUUUCCUCCGGCUUCCAGGCUCUACUACACCCUAAAACGGGUUUCCUCCGGCCUCCGGGCUCUAUUACACCCUAAAACGGGUUUCCUCCGGCCUCCGGGCUCUAUUACACCCUAAAACGGGUUUCCUCCGGCCUCCGGGCUCUAUUACACCCUAAAACGGGUUUCCUCCGGCCUCCGGUCUCUACUACACCCUCAAAAGGGUUUCCUCCGGCCUCCGGGCUCUACUACACCCUAAAACGGGUUUCCUCCGGCCUCCGGGCUCUACUACACCCUCAAAAGGCUUUCCUCCGGCCCCCGGGCUCUACUACACCCUCAAAAGGGUUUCCUCCGGCCUCCGGGCUCUACUACACCCUCAAAAGGGUUUCCUCUGGCCUCCGGGCUCUAAUUCACCCUAAAAAGGGUUUCUUCCGGCCUCCAGGUCCUCCUCCACCCUUCAGUGGGUUCCCCUGGCCUUCUGCUCCACUUCUAUCCUGCAGCAGGUAGGUCACCAUCAGCAGGUGGGUCAAGUUUAUUCAGUUCCUAAAUGCUGCAUGGUUGAUCACUUGCAACAACCACAACAAAUAACAAGAAAAUACCUCAAUAUAAAAUUAAACUGAAUUCAGAUGAAAAGCUCAAAUGAAAACACUUUUCAAGGUUCCAAAAAAUGUGUUCAAUAUCAAUGAAAAAAGCUCUUUCAUAUUACCAAAAAAUCAAUACAAAACAACAAAACAUAAAAUGUGUUCAACACAAUCAUAGAAAUAACCAAAGGAAAAACAAUGUUCUUCCAAGGGAAACCAACAACUUAACAACAAAAUUCAAAGGCGCUCCAUGCUCCAAAUGAUCAAUCAUGUGGGUAAAAUACUUUUAAGGAAACAAUGAAACAACAGCAAAAUAAAAUUCUCAAAGAGCUUCCAAGGAAAUAUGGACCAACUAUGGAACAACAACAACAAAAAACAUUAUUCUCAAGAGCUUACAAGGAAAUAUGGACCAACUAUGAUACAACAACAACAAAAAACAAUAUUCUCAAAGAGCUUUCAUGGAAAUAUGGACCAACUAUGGAACAACAACAACAAAAACAAUAUUCUCAAAGAGCUUUCAUGGAAAUAUGGACCAACUAUGGAACAACAACAACAAAAACAAUAUUCUCAAAGAGCUUUCAUGGAAAUAUGGGCCAACAAUCAAACAACAAAAUUCAAAUUGCUCUUAGGAAAAUAUCACCUCAUUAGCAGGUUUUUCGAAGAAACUAAAGAACAGCAGUGAAAACAUUCACAAGGUGCUCUGGGAGGAACUACAGCCCAACACUGAGGAAGAACUGUGACAACCAGCGAGGCAUCAGACCUUGUUACAGUAGGUCUUCUGGGUCUACAAUAAGACCCAGAAGCCAUGGUGUACACUGAUAACCUGUCCUGUUUAUGUGUGUGCUGUACUGGUCGUGUUUGCAGUCCUUUGUGUAUUUGUAUAUCUCUCUCUCUGCUGGUCUUAAGAAGUUGCUAAAAUGCCCAAUGCUGCAGAAUUGGGCAUUUUGGCAAAAAUUUCAGGGACGCGCUGCUGUUCUACAUCAUGGCGUCUACAAUGAGACGGUCUUUGGUUCCUCCGUCCACGUGAGAAGUUGAGCCAGGCAUCCUCAUGCUGGGGACCAUAGCCGAAGUGUUCAUCCUAUAAGAAGACCCCGAUGCCCUCCAUCUCCAUAGGAUGCUGAGCCAGGAUUCAGAUUGGGUAGUCAACUAACCACCGGAUACCUGAAGCAAUUGGAGGCCAGAGCUGCUCUAACGUAGAUCCGACAGAAACAAGUGCUUGCAGGUCCUGCCAGUAUCAGCCCUGACUCCUGAAGGACUGUGCAAACUGCAAGAGGCUUCUGGUCAUCUUCAACCUGAGCCCCAGUCUGGAGGGGAUCAUGACUUUGUGGAAGACUUCCUGCAUGUUUCUGGUCCUGAAGACGUUGCACCUCCGGGAGCUGAACCACUUCAGACCCUCGCCUUUCAUCUGAUAAAGUCCAUGGAGGAGAUCAACCUUGGCACACCUGUCCGCUAGUGAGCUCGAGCCUGGACCCCCUUCAGCUCACCUACCAGCCAGACAUCAGGGUGGACAACGCUGUUGUCUACCUGCUGCACAGGUCCCUGGUUCAUCUGGAGAACCCCAGCAGUGCUGUGAGGAUCAUGGUCUUUGACUUCUCCAGUGGAGUACAGGCAGAUCUUUGUUGGCAGAGACUGGACAUUAAAAGGGAGUUGUACAAAUACCUGGGUGUUGGACUGGUCACACCUGCACCUGCUGAGGAGACCAAGGUCCUUCGGAGCGUGCAGGACUCCUGUUACGGACGUUUUAGAUAGUGUGAUGGUGUCUGCUCUCCUUUAUGCGGUGGUUCGCUGUGGAGGAGGGAGCGCAGAAAAAGACUAAACUGGUCAGGAGGGGCAGGUCUGUCCUGGACUGUUCCCUGGACUCUGAGGAGGAUGCUGGCCAAGCUGGCAUCCACCAUGGACAACCCCUCUCACCCUCUGCGUAACAUUGUUGGGGCCUGAGCAGUCCCUUCAGCCAAAGACUGUUACCCCGUCCCUUUAAGGAGUGCCAGAUCAUUCAAGCCAGGGACGGGCAACUUUGGUUACCAAGGGAACCACAUCAUUUCUGUUUUUUCCUUCCUGAGGGCAACAUUGUUUUAAAUAGUCAGAUAGGACUGUUGUAAUAACUUAGAACCAGGGAUUCUGAAAUUAAUCCCCACUAAAAAUGUUGAUCAUUGACAGCCCUACUUACAAAUAUAUUUCAGCAAAUUUAAUGAAUCAUCAUUUAUGCUUUGAAAGCUCGAAUCCAAACAGAAAAUCUUAAUGAGUGAACAUAAAAUAAAACAGGAUUUCAGCUUCUUCUUAAAUGCCAUGAUCAGUAUCGUUUACUUGCAUCUCCUUCCCUCCAAAUGCAUCUAUUAAUGCUUCUUUAAAGGGUUUUACUGAAACAAAUACAGUCGCUUCCCUUCAUUAAUGUCCUACAAAGAACCAAACAUGCACUAGUAAUCCUGUUUUACAAGAUUACAUUGAAGUAUUUCUGUUGUAUAUUGUUCUAAACUGUUCAUGCUGUUGUGCAGGUGGAUUUACUUCUUGGCUGAUGAUCUCAUGUUUACAGUUUGUUGACAGUAGAAAUGUUCUUCUAUUUUAACUGGUAUACAGUAGAUAUAAGAGCUUACAUAAAUGGGACUAUGCUUUUAUGUCUGUUUGUACAAAUAUGUAUGUGAACAGUCCCACAGAUGUUACAGCCAGCUAUCCAAAAGUCUUUGCUCCUCAACAUCUUCAAUUAUUGAUAAUACUAUUACAGUUUAAGAUGUGUAAUGUUACCUGGAUGUUUUUCCUUUAUUUAAAUCAGUUCCAUUCACACUGUUUUCUUCAAAUCUGGUCUUGAUCCUUCCACAAGUCAAAGUGUGCAUGUGUACAUUUGUAAAUAAGACUAUUCUAUCACUUUUGUCAUAUGGUAUUGAAGUAUUGUUGGUACUUUUCCCCUUACUUUGGGUUUUUUUUGUGUUAAUUUCUUUAUUAAAGAAUGCAAAUGUUACAAACAUUCCUAGUUUACAUUUUGUUUUUGUUAAAUAUUUGCUGGUUAUGUUUCCCUCUACUGUGAGCUGCUGUCAGAACCAAA